AAGGGUGUAGCUCAGUGGUAGAGCGUGUGCUUAGCAUGCACGAGGUCCUGGGUUCGAUGCCCAGUCCCUCCUU
rnacentral:tRNA from 1 species